CAUAACCGUCCAGAAUUUAUGUUUUAAACGUCCGCUAGUAUUACUAGCGGACGGGGAGUUACAAUAAUAAAUCUCAGCCUUUCAUCAAUGUAACGGACGGUUUAGAGCCUAUAUGCCACUUUUUAUCCCAUAGCAUAUAGAUGCUAUGGAUCAUUCAUAUAUAUAUAGGGAAAUGAUCCAUAGUAAGUAUUUGCUAUGGAUGAAAAAUGGGCAAAUAACAUCAUAACCAUCCAUUCCAAUAAUCAAGGGCGCAGAUUAAAUAUGGUAAUUGGUCGUCCGCCAGACGAAAUAGCGGAAGGUGAAAAAUCAUAAGGACCGUCCGCCAGACGAAUAAGCGGAUGGUUAAAAACAAAAAUUCGCUGCCCAAAAUACCCCCAAGCGGAUGUAUAAGCCAUGCAAUUGUUUAAUCUUGAUAAGGCAACAGUCAACGCGUAUAAGCCAGGCAAUUGUUUAAUCUUGAUAAGGCAACUAUCUACGCGUCAUGCAAUAGGAAUCCACCGAUAUGCAAUCAAAUCAAAGCAACAGUCCAAAAUUUGUCAUGCAAUAGGAAUUCACCAAUAUGCAAUCAAAUCAAAGCAACAGUCCAAAAAAAUUUUAAAUCCAUAUCAACUUGACGUUGGCUAUAACAAUCCAUUAUGCAAUCAAAUUAAAAUUACAGAAGGGAUAAAAUAAAAAUCACAUAAACGUCAAUUAGCCAUGCAAUCGAAUAUGCAAUCAAGUCCAAAUCACAAUAAUUACAUAAGAUGAAUUACUCACAAUUACUGUAUGAUUUAGAGCUUGUAUGUCCAAACAUCAAUCGUAACGAGAAAAUAAUAUUACAAAAAGAAAAAGAAAUAUUUUACUUUGAAUAUAUUAAUAUGUAAUAUUACAAAAAAAAAUUAUAUACUGUAAUAUCCGGAAAAAAAAUAUAUUAAAUAAUAAAAAUUAAUUUUAUUUUAAAACAUAUUAAUUGGACUUUGUCAUUUCAAACUAGUUAUUUAAUUUUUGUGGGCUAAUGUAUUAAUAAGUGUUGGGUAAAUUAAAUUGGUAAAAUUGGGCUUUAAAACUAAGUGGAUCUAAUUUAUAAAUUUAUAAUUUUAAAAUUCUAUUAAAAUUAGGAGAGUUAGUAAAACAUAAUAAAUAAAUAAAACCUAAUUUAACUCGCAUACUCUUUAUACGAAUUGGGGAAAAGAGAAGCAAUAGCAAGAGGCGCAAGAGGCGGCGGCUGUGACUUUCACUGUAAUUGUUAUCGGAGGAAGAGGUAAAUUCUUUGUUCAUAUAUUAUGUGUGUGUAUAUAUAUAUAUAUAUAUAUAUAUAUAUAUAUAUAUAUAAUGAUUAAAGUGAAUUGCUAUAUAGUGAUUUAAAAGUAACUUCUGGCUUCAGCUGAUGGCAUAUAUAUAUAUGGGUUAAGUUCAGAUGACCACCUGGGGUUUGGGCGGUUUCCCACUUAACCACCUGUAGUCAGUAAAGCUACAUUUAAACUCCCGACCUUUUGAGGUGAAGUGAAAAUGUCACCUUUUCCAUCCAACUUAACUGUGCGUGUAUGUCAGACGCCAAAAGUGCGUGAAAAGGGCUGUAACGGUCAAAAAAAAAAUAGUAAAUGUUCAAAAUACCCUCUUCUUUCUCAUUCGAUAGCCUCUCUCUCAUUUCUCACUCCUCAAACCACAAUCCCCAAUUCAAGCUUCUUUAAUUGUUGCCCUCUCUGAAUCCCUCUCUCCCAAAUCGCCGCCGCCAGCAUAUGUACUGCUACCACCAUCCUCCAACAAAUCAGGCAGCCCUCGUCCCUGGCUCGGCCUUGACGGCCUAAUUCUCGCAAUUUCUUCUCUUUGUUUCCUUACUUUAUCAACUGGGUCUGGUGAUUUGGGUGAUGCAGGAUUGGAAAACUGGGUUUGUCAAAGCUGUCAUUCCUGUGACCAAAGUUUCUGUAAAUUGUCCGCCGAUUUGUUUCCCAAUUUGUUAUGAAUUCCAUUCAAACUUGAUAACCCAAUUGAAUAUUAACCCAUCCCAAAUAUCAAAUCGACCCGAGACACUCGCUAUUUCCUUCAUUUCCAUUUCACAUUUUCACCCCCCAAAUUUUCUUCUCAGAAACGAACCCCAAAACAAAAGAUCAAGAAGACCUCCAUUAAUUCUCAAUGAACAAUGGAUGAAACACAACUCACCGACAACGCAAAAGAAUGAACAAAACCCAUAAAAUUAGCUCCAAUUUCUCGGAGAAUUCAAGCCCAAAUCCUACUCUUCCUGAAGAAAUUAUAUCCGAGAUACUCUCUAGGCUCCCCGUGAAGUCUCUCUUGAAAUUCAGGUCUGUUUCAAAGUCAUGGCUCUCUUUGAUUUCCAGUACUCAAUUCAUCAAAACCCACCUCACUAAAUCAAUUGGAGACGGCAAAUUUACCCAUCAUAGAUUCAUUUUCAGCUCUAUACAUCCUCACUUUAACCUCAAGAGUUGUUCUAUGUACUCUCUGUUUAAUGAGCCCAAUACUGAUGCUAUUGAGCUUGAUUAUCCUAUGCAAACUCCACAUAGUUUAGUUGUGGUGGUGGAUUCUUGUAAUGGGUUGGAUUGUUUAGUUUCUGAGGAAGAUUCUAUAUUUUUGUGGAACCCAUCUACUAGAAAAUCAAGAAGAUUGCGUAUCGCGGAUAUUAAUAAGGGAUUUGGGUAUUAUCCAGUAUAUGGGUUUGGUUAUGAUGAAUGUAGUGAUGAUUUUAAAGUAGUUGGGAUCUUUUGUGUCUUUUGUAAUGCGGCGAGUGAUUGUGAAUUUAAGGUGAAGGUUUAUAGCUCAAAGGCUGAUUGUUGGAGAAUGAUUGAGGAUUUUCCUUUUGGUUUUCCGUUGGAUGAAUAUGGUAAGUUUGCAAAUGGAGCUCUUCAUUGGGCUGCUAGUCGCGAUAGUUGUUCUAGUUCUCCACAUUCGUGGAUUAUUGUUUCUCUUGAUUUAGGAAAGGAGGCGUAUGGGGAAGUUUUGCAACCUAGUUAUAGAGAAGGUGAAUACAAUUUGGCCUUGGGGGUUCUGGGUUGGUUUUUGGGAAUUCAUUUGUGAGGAUUUUGGGUCAAUUCCCAAUCGGGAUAUUAGGGGUGCUGUUGUUGUUUGCUGGGAUUGAGUUGGCUAUGGCAUCAAGAGAUAUGAAAACAAAGGAAGAGUCUUUUGUGAUUUGGUAUGUGCUGUCACUGACCGGAUCAAGUACUUAAUUCUUUUAUCUGCAACAUACCAAUUUUUCUUUUUUCUUCUUGUAUUAGCUACCUUUUGGUUAUUUUUUAUAUAUAGAUUGACAAUUAAUCUAAGCUUUCAGGAACUGUUAUUUAAAGUAGCUAUGUGUUAUGAAAUUUGUUCCUACUUAAAUCGUCUUGACAAUCAUACUGUAGAACAGUUAAAGAAGCUUGAAUUGGGGAUUGUGGUUUGAGUAGUCCUGUCUUUUCUAUAUAUACACGCUCUGUUUCUUUGGUAGGAUCAUUCGUCGUUUUCAAUAUAUAUAUAUAUAUAUGGAAGAACACAAAUUUGUCUAACAGCGAGUACACAUUUACAUACUCUUUCAGCUUGAUGAAUUAUGUAAUUAAGUUUUUAUCCAACUUAAGUAACAGAGUUAUGACAGAAAGCAGUUAUUCACUUCACCUCAAAAGGUCGGGAAUUUAAAUGUAGCUUUACUGACUACAGGUAGUUAAGUGGAAAACCGCCCAAACCCCAGGUGGUCAUCUGAACUUAACCCUAUAUAUAUUUAGUAGGAUAUGUAAAGAUUUCAAUUUUGGCUACAUGUCCUGUCGUUAGUAUAUAUAUAUAGUAUUAUUAUAUAAGGAUUAUAUUACCUGUUGGUUCUUGACAUGUAGGAUAUGUAGCCUAGGAUAUGCAGGCUUGCACUGCAGGCGUUGGUUUUUUUUAUAUAUAUAUAUAUAUAUAUAUAUGUUAAUAAAUUUUAUUUUGGCCAUGAAAUGUAUAAACCGAAUGAUUACAUCAAAUUGAAGUUUGUAUAUUAAUUUAAAUUAAUUACUUUUACUGACAUAAGUAAAAAAGUUCUUAAUAAUAAAUUUAAUAGUAUUAUGUUAUUAAUGAUUGGAUUGUAAUAAAAUCUUAUUAAAUUAUUUGAAUUGAGCGGAGAGAAUUUAAGGAAUUAUACUUAGUAUAUAAAUUUUGGAGUAUUAUUAAUUGAUUUAAGGCGAUGAUUAAAUGUACCUUGAAUAGAUUAUGAAUUACUUUGGAAUUAUAAGUUUGGAUUGUUUUAAUUUGAGGUGAAUAUGUUUAGGUUGCGAAUAACGUUUCGUAUUUGAUAUCGUUGGCAAUUGAGGGUAAGAUUUUGUGGAGUGUGCUAUAAAUGGUUUGGAAGUAUCAGGUACGGAUUCCGUACUCUUUCAGCGAUACUUUUGUUAAAUUUAAAUUGUUCGUCUUGUUCCUCAUUUCGAAUUUUUAUUAUUAUUUCACAUAAUUGUUUCUUGUGAAAUUGAUAUAUUUGUUUCAAUUUAGAGUUGACACAUUGGACUCGUACUUGUACUCUUUGAAUCAGGUUAUCAUGUAUAGUAUUUAUUUUGAUAAUUGUAGAGCGGUACAUGUUGCUACCUUCUUUUUGAAACCUUGUGACUAGAAUUUGAUUUGGUUCAACAUGUACAUAUAGAACUCUUUUUGUUGGUAUUAUGUCGCAUGUGCUGUGACAUGGUAUUUUUGUUAGAAUAUACCUUAGGGUAUACCUGAGCUAUAACCACCUGUGGGGGUACCACAGGCAUGUCGUCUUAGUACGAGAGACAUGACACUUUCCAUGGCGGUGUGAUUAGUCCACAGCGUCUCCGUUUUGGGCUCCGGAAGAAGUGGGCCAUUUGGUGUUUUGUUGUGGGAGGCCUAUGGGUUAACCCUAGUUUUCUGUUCUGCGGAUUGGUGAUGUUGUGCCAAACGCACCUAUUCGAUUUGCAUACAUUUAGAUUCGCGGUCCAAUGUGUGAUUUGCCUGUGUGGCAUCAUUUGACUUGCCUAUGUGGCAUCAUUUGACUUGCCUGUGUGGCAUUAUUUUGACUUGCCUGUGUUGCAUCAUUUGACUUGCCUGUAUGGCAUUAUUUUGACUUGCCUGUGUGGCAUUAGUUUGACUUGCCUGUGUGGCAAGAUAUAUUUUUGAACUCGCUCGGUAUGAAAUAACCCCAGCCAUUUGAUUCAGCCUAUUAUCUCAUUGUAUUGGUUUUGUUUGUUUCUGUUCAGUUUAAUUCAUUGAGUUAGUUACUUCAGUUCGUUAUUUCUUUACUCUUCUGUUGAUUCAGAUAUAUUCCAUUCAGAUAUUUGGAGAUUAUAUUUUUGUCAGUAUUUACACUUGAGGUUUUGUUCAGUAUUUUGUCUCAAUUGUUUUUUUAUAUCAGUUGUACAUCUUUUAUAUAUUUGUAUUCGUACUGGGCAAUUGGCUCAUGCUGUGUUUUUCUUCCGACAGGUUUGCAGGGGUGAUUCAGGGCUAGUGUGAUGAGAGUGUUGCCUUUGACCAUCUAGGUUGAUUCAAAUUUUAAGUUUUGAUUAUUUUGACUCUGUUUGGAGAAUUGUAUUUAGUACUUUAUUAAUGGAUCACCACUAUUAAUAUUUUGAGGUUAUUAGUGCUCUGUUUUCUUAUUUUGAGGUUUGUUGUGCUUUGCACGUGACCUCCCUUUCCUUUUCGGGAAGGGGGUGUUACAUAUACAAUGUUACAAUGAUCUAAUUUCAUUAUAUUUAUAUUUUUUCCUAACAAUUGCAUACUCAGUUGCUAAAUAGCCAAAAGUAACCUGCAGUAAGGCCAUUUUUCUUGUACCCAAAGCUAAACAAGUCGUUAUUACAGCUGGCAGCACUUCUGGUAUUGCAACUACAGCAAGGGCAACGGGUAUCUUGAAAUAAUAUGUGCACUUCUCAAAUGAAAAUCGAAUAUUUGUUGGCCAUCCAUUAACCAGAUCCCAAGUGAGAAAAUAUUUAUAGUUGAUAACCCACACAACAAGACAAACGAAACCAAUUGCAGUUGCAGUUUCCAUUUACUACUGUAGUGCCUGCGAAAACCAUAUUUUCUUUGGCCUGCAAUUCACAGUCAUCCAUGAAUAUAGUUUUGGGUUAAGUUCACAUAACCACCUGGGGUUUGGGCGGUUUCCCACUUAACCACCUGUAGUCAGUAAAACUACAUUUAAACUCCUGACUUUUUGAGUUAAAGUGAAAACGUCACAUUUUUCAUCCAAUUUAACUGUGCGUGUAUGUCACACGCCAAAAGCGCGUGAAAAGGGGCUUUAACGAUUUAAAAAGACUGAAAUACCCCCCAUACCUCUCGAUUUCUUCUCCUCCCCGAUCAGUCUUUCCCUUUAUCUCUGAUUAGGGCAAGCUCUUC
rnacentral:lncRNA from 1 species